rnacentral:rRNA from 1 species
AGCGAACGCUGGCGGCAUGCCUAACACAUGCAAGUCGAACGAACCUGUCGUGGUUAUGUGCGGACCUGGGGGGAACACGGGGUAACGUACCCGUAGGUACCCUAUACCUCAGGGAGACUUGUGCUCAGACCAAUGGUGCCCUUACCGGAAAAGAGUAAUCGCCGUUAGAGCGGCCCGCGUCAGUUUAGCUAGUUGGGUGAGGUAAUGGCUCACCUAGGCGACGAGCAGUAGCUGUGCUGAGAGGAUGAUCAGCCACGUCGGGGCUGAGACACGGCCCACUAUCCUACGGGAGGCAGGAGUGGGGAGUCCAGCGGAAUGGGGCAAAGCGUAACGAAGCCAUGCGGGGUGAAUGAUGAAGGUCUUAGGAUUGCAAAAUUGUUUCACCGGGGACGAUAGUGACGGUACCCGGAGAAGAAGCCCCGGCUAACUUCGUG